rnacentral:rRNA from 1 species
UACGGAGGGGGCGAGCGUUAUUCGGAAUUAUUGGGCGUAAAGGGCGCGUAGGCGGCUUGACAAGUCAAAGGUGAAAUCCCUCGGCUCAACUGAGGAACUGCCUUUGAAACUGUCUGGCUUGAGGCCGGGAGGGGGUAGCGGAAUUCCCAGUGUAGCGGUGAAAUGCGUAGAUAUUGGGAGGAACACCAGUGGCGAAGGCGGCUACCUGGACAAUUGCUGACGCUCAGGCACGAAAGCGUGGGGAGCAAAAGGG